UACGUAGGGUGCGAGCGUUGUCCGGAAUUACUGGGCGUGAAGAGCUCGUAGGUGGUUUGUCGCGUUGUCCGUGAAAACUCACAGCUCAACUGUGGGCGUGCGGGCGAUACGGGCAGACUGGAGUACUGCAGGGGAGACUGGAAUUCCUGGUGUAGCGGUGGAAUGCGCAGAUAUCAGGAGGAACACCGGUGGCGAAGGCGGGUCUCUGGGCAGUAACUGACGCUGAGGAGCGAAAGCGUGGGGAGCGAACAGG
rnacentral:rRNA from 1 species